GUGCAUUCGGCUCCGCUGACGUAGGACGGGGGCGCCGAAGUCAGCAUGGGGAGGAGAGGUCACCAACGCCGAGGGAGCCCGGCGCUGAAAUAAGGUAAGCUGCCUCAGGGCACUCUAGUGUCAGGAAAACCGCUUUGUUUUCCUGACACUAUAGUGAUCCUUUAAAAAAUAAGAAAAAAAUGAGAAGAAUGGAAAAACUGGCUGAAAAAAAAGAAAAAAUGACAAAUAUGAAAACUGAAAAGUUCAAAAGGCUGUAAAAAAAGUGCACUGAUUAGAUGAUGAAAAAAUUGGUUGGAUCUCACCACAGAUUAUUUUUGCUGUAGGUAUGGAAAAUCUGUUCACUAGCAGUAGGUGUCCAAUUGCUUGUGGAGGAAAAGAUGUUCAAAAGAAAACCCUUUAAUCAAAUGGAGCAGCAAUAGGAAGUGAUUCUGAUCUGGUCUGCAGUUCUCCUGUCUCUCGUGUCUGGUGUCUGUAGCUGGGCCCAAUCUUGCUGAUUGAUAGGGGAUCGAAUACUUAUUUCACUCAUUUACAUGCAAAUCAAUUUAUAACUUUUUUGACAUGCAUUUUUCUGGAUUUUUUUUGUUAUUCUGUUUCUCACUGUUCAAAUACACCUACCAUUAAAAUUAUAGGCUAGUCAUUUCUAUGUCAGUGGACAAACGUUCAAAAUCAGCAGGGGAUUAAAUACUUUUUUCCCCUCACUGUAUGCUUUCAUUUCAGCUACUCUGGCCUUAAUUUUGAAAUACACUUUGAAUUCUCACUUUUACUAAAUAACCCUGUGAGAUUAGGAAAAAAAUAAAAAAAACUGACCUGCAGUUAAAAAAAGAAACCAGCAGAGGGCAGAAAAGUGCUUAUCUGACUAUCACAGGAAAAACACUAUGGUAACAAUACAACAAGUCCUCUGUUUAUCAGUCUAAAAGUUGGAGAAAAGGGCUGGCCAGUUGAAAAGGCCCUGCAAGAGAGAAUAGUGGUUCUCAUGCAUGGGCAAAAUAUAGACAUUAAGCAAGACAUGUGUAAAUACGAAGGGAACAACUUCAUCUAAAUGAAGUUGUUAUGGUGCCAGGAUGCACUCUUACUGUGUGCUGCAGGGCAGGGGCAUCGAUGAUUUGCUGUGAGCGGCCAGCCAUUCAGUGACUCCCCAUUCACAUAACUGGCUUGGAAAUAAACAUACUUUUCUCAAGGCAGUUUAGUUAAUGAAGACAGCUUUCCGCCAUUCAGCGGCACCCCUGCCCGUCGGCACUCUACGCUUCCUGAAACUGAAAAUUCAGAAGCCAGAUGCCGCCUUAGGGGUUGACAGCGGGGGAAAGAGUGGUCAUCACUAUUGGAGACAACUUACUAAUUAAACUGCUUGAGAAUGGCUUAACCCUCUUGAGGUAAGAAUGAACAUGUUUUGGUGCCUGGAGUGUUCCUUUAAGCUUAUGAAAUACAUGACACUCAUAGGCAUAUAUAUAGCUGCAAAUUACAAUACAAAUAUACAUAGUAUCUAGGACAGGGAGC